rnacentral:lncRNA from 1 species
CGAAUAGUCCGUCAGGUAAAGUACUGAAUUUGAACGAUCUUUCGUGGCAUCUUACAGCCCUGCCUUUUUGCCGCCUCGUCUCCCCCCCAACCGCCGAUGUAAGGACCACCGUAGGACGCGAAACAAGUUUGAAAUCCAGCUUUAAAUGAAAUGCGAUCUGUGAAGGGCGCGUUAUCGUGCUUCAGUCUUCAUUUCUGACGCGAACGUGACCCACGCGAUGCAUUGGGAGCUUGGACCAGGAAAUUAAUGCCGCUUUACACAUAUGUACUUAUGAAUGUCUGUACGUGCUCGUAUAGUAUACACAUAUAUAAUUGGAACUCCGCUUUCUGUAUACCAUUUCGGGAC